rnacentral:rRNA from 1 species
UACGUAGGGGGCAAGCGUUGUCCGGAUUUAUUGGGCGUAAAGAGCGUGUAGGCGGCCUUCUAAGUCGGACGUGAAAUCCCUCGGCUUAACCGAGGAACUGCGUCCGAUACUGAAAGGCUUGAAUCCGGGAGAGGGAUGUGGAAUUCCAGGUGUAGCGGUGAAAUGCGUAGAUAUCUGGAGGAACACCGGUGGCGAAGGCGGCAUCCUGGACCGGUAUUGACGCUGAGGCGCGAAAGCUAGGGGAGCAAACAGG